rnacentral:lncRNA from 1 species
CCCACCGCGUUACUUUCAAUGUGCGGCCCCUUCGUAGCGCAACAAGGCUGGUUUUGCGUUUCUCGGAGGCAGAAAAGUCUGUAAAAUAAGCACAAAUAGCAGCUGAGUAGCAGAGAAGGGAAAUUUGGAGGCAUGUGGUAGAGUUCCUAUGGCUGGAAGUUCUGAAGAUGCAAUUUGAUGGGACUACAAGGUCUCCUCUGGACUCCAUCCCUAGCAGCUCAAGACCAGCUUGGAGACGAGUUGCUAAGCAAAUAGAGACCCUUUUACAAAAGCACAGAAUCACAGAAUUGUUCUGGUUGGAAGGGAUCUCCGGAGAUCAUCCAGUCCAACCCCCCCCAGCCAAGGCAGGGUCAACUGGAGCAAGUAACAGGAACACAUCCAGCCUCUGCUGCACCUGGUGAGAGGUUGAUCAUGACAAGGGAAUGUGCUGAGUCUGCCAUGGCCACUGUCCCCUCCCAGGCUCUGUGGGUGACAGAGGAAGCCACUGUCAGAAAUGAGGUGUAGUAGCCAGCACACCUCGCCUUCUCACCACCUUCCCGACAUGAGCAGCGUUGAUAUUGAUGCCUGUGCACAUGCUGACACCCCAGGUAACAUGGCACACACAUUUUAUUAACCCCUCUGACACUUCCUCUGUGCUCCCUGGGCCAGCAAGUGUUCUUCCAUACAGCAUAAAGAAUUAUUUUUUCCUUCCCAUUUGAGCCCAAACUCUUGCCUGUUUUACAAGUGCCUCCAGUACUAGUUUGGGGGGUGGAUUUAGUCGAAUUAAAACAAACCAAACACAUUAGUCCCAUCCCCCUUUCAGCCCUCUGCUCCCCAGACUGAGUCCCAGCCACUCAGUGCCUCCUCCUUUCCAGCACUGCCUCAUUUGCCUUUCCCUGUGUUUUGUCUCAGCCAUUUGCUGCUGGGCUCCUCUGGGGAUGCCGGGGAAAAGGCAGCAAGCUGAGUUCCAGGGGCAUUGCUGUCUCUGUUCUGCUGCUCCCUGUGCUGCUGCCUUUCCCCUGGUGUGCUCCGUGCUGCUGCUUUCCAUGAAACGUGUCCUAGGCAGGGGGAAUAGGGAAGGGCUUGGAACAUACCCAUGCCUAUACAUGCCACUGUGUAGGCACCACCAGUAAUGGGAAAAAUGCAUAUUUUAUGAUUGGCUUUUUGCAAAUAUUCAAAUGAAUAUUAUAUGUGUUAUGUUAGAAAGUGAUGCUGUAUUAAUUUUCUUAAGUAGUGUGUUAAAUAUAGUUUUGGUUAUAACAUAAUGUUAAAAUAGAAACUACGUUUGUGAGAUAUUUUUUAAGAAAGGAACGAGGUACUCGCACCAGAUAGCAGCCACAGGACACCCAAAUCUUUCAGAGAAAGAAAAUUUAUUGCUCCAUUAUCAGAAAAAAUGAACUUCUUCCUGCCUUGCUCAGUCCU